rnacentral:misc_RNA from 1 species
UUAUUAAAUUUGCAUGAAGACUUUCUAACUAAAAAAAUGUUUGAGAAAACCUUUGGCGGGGACUCUCCCUUUUCAAGGAGCGCUGCAAACAGCGGCCCCGCCAAAGCGACCAUAACAAAUUCACAAAGGUGUAGGAUGGGAAUGAGGCUUUUUCAGCCUAUUCAGUAAUGAUCCUUCCGCAGGUUCACCUACGGAAA